CUGGGUGUUGCAAACGGUCAAUGUGCUUGGCUGCUAACCAAAAGGUUGGAGGUUCAAGUCCACCUAGA
rnacentral:tRNA from 1 species